rnacentral:lncRNA from 1 species
GAUGAAAAUCCUGCAGAAGAAGUGGUCGAAACUCAAAAGUUAAAACCAUGUUGUGCUUGUCCUGAAACAAAAAAAGUCCGCGAUGCAUGAUCAGAGAAAAUUUCACUUUCAAUAUACCACUGGCUUAUCUCUUAUCUGCAGAGUUUAAGAGGAUCAAUAAUUCCUGUUUUCCUCUAGUAAGCUGCAUUGUAGAAAAGGGUGAAGAACAUUGUGGUGAUCUAAUACAAGCACACAAAGAUUGUAUGAAGAAGAUGGGCUUUGACAUUUGAC